rnacentral:tRNA from 3 species
GCCCCUGUAGCACAAAGGAUAGUACGUCGGCCUCCGAAGCCGAAGAUAGAGGUUCAAUUCCUCUCAGGGGCA